GGUCAGCAGCCUGCCUGCCAAGCUCCUGCGCGGGUUAUGCCCCAUCCACGUGGCAGAUAUAUUUACUUGCUGUAAGGAGCCAUCUAGUGAGGGUUUGCUGCACAGAAAAUCGAGCUAACCAUUUCUUUAGCGUUUCGAGGCAAUACCAUAAGAAAGCGUGACCGAGCGGUGUUAUUUCUCCUCUCCCGCCGUGAGCGCUCCUGCUGUGCUCCUGGGGCACCGAAAGCCUGGCCACGCUGCAGAUCGGCGCUGCUGCAAAUCCGGCAGCCCGCGGGGCAUUGCAGAAGGCGCUGCGCCCGCCGGGGCAGGCGCUAAGCACCCACGUCAGCCAGGAGGACGGGGGCAAGCUAGAAGUCAGAUUUUCUGAAAAUGCAAACAAUGAAAAAUAUUCUUUUUUUUUUUUUUGCAGGGGCAAAAAUCCCCAUUCUUAGUAGGUGGAAAGUAUUUGGCUACAUCAAAGAUUAAUAGGUUUAAUGUAAUAGCUGAAACUGAAAUUUAAAAAGCAAACAGACUGAGCAGCAUGGAAUGGGUUUGUAAUAAUGAUUUCAUUACGGGUUUUAAAAAGUUUGCUUUAUCCUUGCAGUUUGUUGUCGGAAAGGAUUGGCUGAAUCCAGUCAAAAUGGUUUGUUCUUUGUCUGUCCGCGGUCACCAUAGCUACCGUCUCAAUCUGUUAACAUAUGUGGUAUUAUUUUGUUCCUUUCUCUUAAACUCUUUAUUCACAGAUGCUGUCAAGAUUUUCCUUUGUACGUAUCUGCUCUGUCAGUGCCAGGUUUGGCUCCGUGCCGUCUCGGAGGAGAGAGGCCGUGCUGAGGCCGUGCUGGCUGCACGCUCGGUGCAGCCGUGGAGACGGUGCGAGGAGCAGGGGUGGGACCGGCUCCUGCGCCACCGCCGCCGGGGUCUGCUGAGAAACACCUGGGAAGUGGUGAUCAGAGGGGGAUCUGUGUCGGGAGCGGAAGGCGCUCGCUGCACGUGCUCUGCCAGAUCCUCGGCGGCUCGUUAGAGUAGCUCCAGGUUGCCACUGAGGUUGGACACAUAUCCGCACUGUACAACGUGGGUAACUGGAAUAUUUAGCAGCAGUGAAAUGGGCAGGUGAAUGUAUCGGCGUGAGCGUGUACAUGGUAUGGUUUGCAGUGGGGAGGCCGUAAGAGAAAUCAGACAGUCUGGAAAACGCACUCUUUUCCUUCACAACAAAGCUCUCACAGCAGAGAACAAAGUUACGGCGAGCCCGUCUUCUUUUUUUUUUUUUCCAUAAAAGCCUUUGUUUAAAGCUCUGUGGGUUGGAUUUUCAGAGCUGCCGAGCACCCCGCAUUCGGGUUUCUUUUAACUGGAAAUGUAGGUGUUCAGCAGCUCCAGCAGCCGGGGCCUCUCCUGAUGCCUGCGGAGUAGUUGCAGAAAGUGUGUGAGACAUUACUGUAAUGAGGGGCUAAUUCUGCCUCUCCUCCCUGCCUCUCAGAGCAGAUGAAAGGGUGCCUGCGAGUCAUGUUAUACGCAUGGAAAAUGGGGGCCCUGAUGUGCUGGCCCUGGCUCCACGGGGCAGGGAUGCUCUCCUGUCACAACCGGCACCGAGUCACAUCUGCAUUCCCAGUGUAAGGCCCGUUUUUAAGGACUCCUAGUUUGGCUAUAAAAAUUCACUUACCAUGCAUGAAUAGGAACCAAAUUGACAUGAUAGACCAUAACCACUCUGAAAGGGCCAUUAGUUCCUGUCAUAUGAAAAAUCCACGUUUUCAGAAAGCGAGUAUUGUUCAGAUCGACACGGUGGGCUGUGAAGGUCCCUUCCGAGGCAUCACAGCCUCUCCGGAAAAAAGCACUCUUGCUGCCCACCACAGGCGCAGCAACAGCACGGGGCAGAUCCCUGCUCCCAGAUAUCAGCUCCAGAUCAGCGCAGAGCCUUCCCGUGUCCCCGAGCCAGUCUGGAGCGGUGGGAGCUCCCGGUUCACGUGGGUGUAAGCAGGAAGGGGCAGACCACGGGGUAAAGACGUGGUUUGAGGAGCGGGAGAGGUGAGUCCUGGCUGCGCGAGGGCACUGGCCAGCAGAGCCAGGAGUGCAAGGUCCGUGGAGAAACAUCACCCGUCCCCUGUGCUCAGCGCUGUCGGGGAGGGCACGGGAGACGCGGCCGCAUGUGGACCUUGCGGUAUGCAGUAAGGGAAAAGCCCGGGCUGGCGGGAACGCAGCGGUUGUGUUUUCCAGUGAUUUUAGGAGGUCCUAGGUCAUGACAUUUUAAGAAUUGUUUCUUCUUUUAGCUGGUGAUUAAUACUUCACUUGACACCAGAUUAGGCUUUCAUUGAUUUUUUUUUUCUUUUCCAGGUUUUCGUGAGUUGAAGGUUUUCUUUAGCAAAUAGCAGUGAGGAACCGACUUUGGCUCCUCUCUCCUCCCCCCGCGACCACUUGCGACUGAGAUCUCCAGAUUGGAUUUGGAAAAAAGGGAAGAGAGAAGCAGGAUUUUAGGAGCAAGCGGCUGCAGAUGCCUCCGAGGGAGCCUGGGAAGCCUCCGCUGUACAGGGUUUCACAUGGAGGAUUUGUUCUGCCGGAUCCAGCCGGCGCUUCCCCUUGCUGCUGGCGGCAGGCUUCAUGGGGAGUAACGCCACAGCAUCGCCUGAGCAGCUGCUCCUGGGGAAAAGCUUCCUCCAUCAGUCAGAAAAUAAAGAUUGAUUUAAACACUG